rnacentral:rRNA from 1 species
AUACGGAGGGAUCGAACGUUAAUCGAAAUUACUGGGCGUAAAGCGCACGUAGGUGGUUUAUUAAGUGGGAUGUGAAAGCCCCGGGCUCAACCUGGGAACUGCAUUCCAAACUGGUGAACUAGAGUACGAUAGAGGGGGGUAGAAUUCAGAGUGUAGCGGUGAAAUGCGUAGAUAUUCUGAGGAAUACCGGUGGCGAAGGCGGCCCCCUGGAUUGAUACUGACACUGAGGUGCGAAAGCGUGGGGAGCAAACAGGAUUAGAAACCCCAGUAGUCC